rnacentral:rRNA from 1 species
ACGGAGGGGGCUAGCGUUGUUCGGAAUUACUGGGCGUAAAGCGCACGUAGGCGGAUUGGAAAGUCAGAGGUGAAAUCCCAGGGCUCAACCUUGGAACUGCCUUUGAAACUCUCAGUCUUGAGGUCGAGAGAGGUGAGUGGAAUUCCGAGUGUAGAGGUGAAAUUCGUAGAUAUUCGGAGGAACACCAGUGGCGAAGGCGGCUCACUGGCUCGAUACUGACGCUGAGGUGCGAAAGCGUGGGGAGCAAACAGGAUUAGAUACCCUGUCAGUCCACGCCCUAAACGAUGAAUGCCAGACGUCGGGCAGCAUGCUGUUCGGUGUCACACCUAACGGAUUAAGCAUUCCGCCUGGGGAGUACGGCCGCAAGGUUA